GCGAAGGUGGCGGAAUUGGUAGACGCGCUAGCUUCAGGUGUUAGUGUCCUUACGGACGUGGGGGUUCAAGUCCCCCCCCUCUCACCA
rnacentral:tRNA from 1 species